rnacentral:lncRNA from 1 species
GUCCGUCGCGGGAGCUGAGCCCACGAGGCCCUGGAGCGCGGUGGCUGGGCCCGUAGCGCCACCUGGCGGCGGAUCAGGACCCCGCGCCCUUGCGUCCCUGGAAGUGGGAGAAGGGGCAGGGGGCUCCACCCUGCACCACCACCCCAGCGCGCUCCCGAGGCCGUUCCCCAAGGAUGCGCGGGCCCCAGGGAGAGCGACGCUGCCCGCGCGGCGCUUUCCUGGCCGCCUGGAGUCCGGGAACGGCGAAUCCCGCUCGCAGCGGACCGAGGCGAGGCGCAGCGGGACGGGAUCGGUGGGAACGGAAACAGCGGUCACCCGGAAGCCCAGAACCAGCGAGUACGCGGUGCAGUGUUCGCUUCCCAAACGUUGUGGGACAAACGCCUUUCAACUGUUUCUGGACGCCCGUGGGCCGGCGUUACCCUGUUGAGAGGGAAGAGAGAAGCCCCUCCCAUUCGCUUCUACUGGGGCUUGUUAAGCCAUCGCCUUGGGGGCCGGCUGAUCAGCGGCAGCCAGCAGCCAGCGGCUUCUGCAGGCAGGAGCAAGGACAGCCUGUGGCUACUGCAGCCCCACUGCCCGGCCACACUUCAUGACGGGAGAGUGCCUUGGGAGGAAUGUAAAGGCAAACCGUGUUAGCAUCAUAGAGCCCACUUAAUUCUGUAUGGGUUGGUAUUUGGGGAAGAAAUUGAGGACAAUUUGGUAUUGGACCCUAUAACUGGGCAGUGACCAGUAUGCAUGGCAAAGUCUUAAAGUCAGUGAGUUUUUCAGGAUGAUUUUCUUUUCUGUCCCUGAGUCAGUGGGAUAGAAUGGAAAUGCCUUGUCUAGGUACUUUAGGGAGCACAGUGUGAAGAAGACAGCCUCCCCUAAGCUAGCACCGCUUGUGUAAUUUGUGGUCCUUAGACAUUAAAGUGAAGCCCUUUGUCACCAACUGUAGAGCCCCCCUGCCAAAACACCCUCAUUUGGGGUUUUUAUUCCAUUUUAAACCAUGAAUUGCAUGCACUCCCUCCAGUACCGAUGUGAGGUUUUUCUGUGUUGGAUCAAAACCAAAUGCUGCUUUAUGUCAACUUCAGGAAGGAAACUGGCAAAUGCAUGAAGUCAGUCUCCAUGGUGCGCUUCCACUCCAGGGACUGUACGAGAGGAAAAAAAGGUGCUUCAUAUCCCAACCAAAAGUAUUCUCUGUCUGAGGACCAUUGCCCAAGUGUGAAGUAGGAGACUUGUGCAAUUCAAAGGCACCCAUGCGAUGCUCGUGCGAAGCUCUUUUCUCAGCCAGGCACGACAGGUAUGGAGCCGGCCCUGGGAAGUGGGAUCUAGAAUGACAACCCCUGGCACAGGGCUAAGGAGCUUUAGGAGUGGUGAAAUCUCAUUGUAUCACUGCAAACAGAAGCUGCAUCCCUGCAUGGGAAGCAUUAGGUCACCUCCCAGGCAGGAGCAAACAUUUGGUGGGAAGGACUAGGAGGUUGGCUGCUUGCUCUUCUCUUUCAGCAGUGACAUCUCCACCGUGCUUGUCCCACGUCUCCAGAAAGGUGGUUCCAGGUACAAAAGCUCAAGUGGACUGGAGGCUCCCAAAGCUUCUCCCCGUGCCAUCUCCCCACUGGCUGCUGGGUCCAGUGGUGGCCGCCCCUUGGGUACUAGGAACUCCUAGUUCUACAAUGAGAAGCUGCAAGGUACAGCUGUAAGUUUUGUCCUCAUGCUCACCCCCUUAUGCUGUCUCCUCCAAUAAUGCAUGUGAUUUGGUCUCUACAGGACUCCCAGAGGCCCAUGGACUGGAGCUGUUAAUGUCCUGCAGAUAGGAGCCACUCUCUCGCUGUGAUCACCAAGGUACCCAGGGCCUCUGGAGGCCACAAAGAAUGGAUAAUUGCAACCCACAGGCCUCCUUCAGAUUUCCUCCAAGCCCUUCUGGUCAGCAAAUACUCUAUGGCAAGUCUGGGGUUUGGUCUUUACUUCUGGUGCCAAUUAACUUCAUCUUCCUUUUCUCUUUGGUCCGUGGAAUUACUCUGCACUCUUUGCAAUGAUGUUUAGUAAUUCUUAUCGACUACGGAGCAGCCUCCUGGGACCCUGCCAGCUGAUCUUAAAAAGCCACUUACUGCAGGAUUCCCACUGCUUUCCUGGGCUAGGAAUUCCUUAACCAAAGGCAAGUUUCACAGGAGAUCCUUGAGAAGGUGCCUCAUUAUUAAUAUUUUUGUGUUGAAAAUGUUCACUGUGGAAGUUGCUUACAAGGUGGGCCAGUGUGUUUGGGAAGAACAGGGUGGGCCUCGAGCAAACUGGGGGGCGGGGUGGGAGUCAGACUCUACUCCCUCCACCUUUGUCCUUCCCUCUUCUUCUUCUUGCUCACCUUCGGAACCCCCGGGCCCCCUUCCUGGCUGCAGCCCCUCGGGUCUUCUUCAUGCGUUGACACUGAAAGCUCUCUUGUGCUAAUUGCUGACUAGGCAUGAAUGCAUGGCAAUUGUUGGCUUGUUUCCUCUCCUGGAUCACUUUUUCCUCCUUUCAUAUUGGGUAGAGCCUUUCAUGUCUUAACAAGAGGGAGCCGUUCACAUGAGGUUUUGGGUGCACCAGUUGGGUGGGUUCUGAACUUCUGGCCCCCUUCCAAGUCUCAAAGUCUGGUUGACCAUGUGUGUUGGGCCAAGCUGUGCCUGGCUCUGGAACUGCCUCCAAGGAGGGGCAUCAGGCUGUGUGGUGGAGACAGUGACCCCUCCAGCCCCUGCUGCUCCAGCUGCAGCUGCAGAGUGUACAAGGGGAGAGUCUCUGGGGGUCAUGGGGCUCCAAGGGUGUAUUCAGAAAGAUGAAGCACCCUGUGUGAUGCACCUGCACCUAGGCUGAUGGGGACACCUGCAAGGACAGACUGGGGCAUUAAAUAGGUGGAGGGAGCUUUGCUUUAGAAAACACACACUGAGAAAGUGGAAUUUGCCAUCAGGCAGGCUAAGGGGUGUUCCACUUACUACACUUGGAGUCUUUCGCCCAAGAACUGAUGAAACAGUUCAGGAACAAAACCAGCCAGAUACGUUAAGAAGAAUGAUGCUUACCAACAUAGUAUGGGGUUUGAUGUUGACAACGAUUCACUGAUGUCUCCCCAGAUUCCCUAGAUGUAGGGGCAGAACUACCAGGGGAGACACCAUGCUUCUUUGGAGAGAUUGAAUGGUACUCUCUAGGUCUGGAGCAGCACUGUCCAGGGAACGUCACACUGGGAAUGUUCUUCCUGUGUGCUGUCCAAGAUGGUAGCUGAGCAUGCAGUGUGGUUAUUGCAACAGAAGAACUGAAUGUUGAUUUCAUUUACUUUUAAUUAAUUUAAAUUUAAAUCUGAAUGCCCGCAUGUGGCUAGUGGCUACAUGGUGGACAGUGCUGUCUAGACCAGUGUGCAGAGGUCAUAGUGGGGGAGGAGCAUUGGAGGAAAAUGGAGAGGUGACCCUGGAGAGGUGGUGGGAACAGAUCGAGAGGACCUUGUAAGGUGUGUGAGCAAUUCGAGACUUGUCCCUGGGGAUGACAGGAAGCCACUGAAAGGUCUAAGCAGAUGAAUGAGCACUCAGAUUGAUAGCUUAAAAGACUUGGCUGGGUGCGGUGGCUCAUGCCUGUAAUCCCAGCACUUUGGGAGGCCGAGGCGUGCAGAUGAUGAGGUCAGGAGUUUGAGACCAGCCUGGCCAACAUGGUGAAACCCCAUCUCUGCUAAAAAUACAAAAAGUAGCCAGGCAUGUUGGUGGGUGCCUGUAGUCCAGCUACUCGGGAGGCUGAGGCAGGAGAAUCGCUUGAAACUGGAAGGCUGAGGUUGCAGUGAGCUGAGACUGUACCACUGCACUCCAGCCUGGGCGAAAGAGCAGAACUCCAUCUCAAAACAAAAACAAAAACAAAAACAGAAAACAAAACGAAAAAAAAAAACAAACCUCCCACUCCCCACCCCAACCUGGAGUCCAGGUAGAGAAAGAGUGGGGGCAGGAGGGCAGCCAGAGAAGGCUGUCGUGCGUGGAAACAUCCAUCCAUCUACAUGCACACCUACACACAUGUGUAUGCCAAUUGGUACAGAAUUGUGGGGAAUGCGUAUUGCCAGGAGCCAUGCCAAGCACUCUGCUUGCCAGAUAAUCACACCACCAGCUCCGGGAAAAUAUUCUGAAGGGAAAGUUGUAGGGGUUUGUGGCCAAGCUAUUGAUUGGUGAAAGAGGCAGAGAGAGGCACAGAGGGAGACUGAAGAUGUCCCUAAUGCCUGAAGACGCCUCGAACGCCUGGCUUGCAGGUCUGGGCAGCAUCCCUCAGAGGGACAGGGAGGCCAUGGAGAGACGCAGGUUGAACUACACUGAGUUUGGGUUUCCCCCCCACCCACCCCUGCCACCUUAAGUAAAUCUCAGGAGCCCACCUGCCUUGAGCAGACCCCACCCCCAGG